UACGGAGGAUGCGAGCGUUAUCCGGAUUUAUUGGGUUUAAAGGGUGCGUAGGCGGGCCGGUAAGUCAGCGGUAAAAUAGCGGGGCUCAACCCCGUCGAGCCGUUGAAACUGCCGGUCUUGAGUGGGCGAGAAGUGCGCGGAAUGCGUGGUGUAGCGGUGAAAUGCAUAGAUAUCACGCAGAACCCCGAUUGCGAAGGCAGCGCACCGGCGCCCAACUGACGCUGAAGCACGAAAGCGUGGGGAUCGAA
rnacentral:rRNA from 1 species